rnacentral:lncRNA from 1 species
AAAGACCCCCUUCCAAGCCUAUUAGACUCCAUUGUAGUCUCUAAUGGUGCUUGGAGGGGAUUCUUUCUAACACACUCUCUAAAGGACACUGAGAUAGUCUCUACUAGAAAGACCCCCCUCCAUGGCCCAUUAGCCCUCAAUUGUAGUCUCUACUGGGGCCUCGAAGGGAUUAUUGCACUUUUGUUCCUUGUGUCUAAAGAUUGUGUAGGGUGUGGCUG